GUGAAUCAUCGAAUUUUUGAACGCAAAUUGCACUCUCUUCGGAGAGUAUGCCUGUUUGAGGGUCAGCCUAAAAAAAAUCGACAUAGUCGCUGUUUCGCGGUGACAUUCGUCGGAAAUUGGGUCAUCUUAAACCUUUUGGUUUUAAGCGGCUUAAAAUUUUCUUUACGUUUCACAAAACUUUCCUAAGAUUUAUUUAAACUUUUAAGUUAUCGAUCUUUAUU
rnacentral:misc_RNA from 1 species